UACGAAGGGGGCUAGCGUUGCUCGGAAUCACUGGGCGUAAAGGGUGCGUAGGCGGGUCUUUAAGUCAGGGGUGAAAUCCUGGAGCUCAACUCCAGAACUGCCUUUGAUACUGAAGAUCUUGAGUUCGGGAGAGGUGAGUGGAACUGCGAGUGUAGAGGUGAAAAUUCGUAGAUAUUCGGAAGAACACCAGUGGCGAAGGCGGCUCAC
rnacentral:rRNA from 1 species